rnacentral:rRNA from 1 species
GAUGAACGCUAGCGACAGGCUUAACACAUGCAAGUCGAGGGGUAGCAGGGGGUAGCAAUACUUUGCUGACGACCGGCGCACGGGUGAGUAACGCGUAUGCAACUUACCUAUCAGAGGGGGAUAACCCGGCGAAAGUCGGACUAAUACCGCAUAAAACAGGGGUCCCGCAUGGGAAUAUUUGUUAAAGAUUUAUUGCUGAUAGAUAGGCAUGCGUUCCAUUAGGCAGUUGGCGGGGUAACGGCCCACCAAACCGACGAUGGAUAGGGGUUCUGAGAGGAAGGUCCCCCGCAUUGGUACUGAGACACGGACCAAACUCCUACGGGAGGCAGCAGUGAGGAAUAUUGGUCAAUGGGCGCGAGCCUGAACCAGCCAAGUAGCGUGAAGGAUGAAGGUUCUAUGGAUUGUAAACUUCUUUUAUUGGGGAAUAAAGUGCAGGACGUGUCCUGUUUUGUAUGUACCCAACGAAUAAGCAUCGGCUAACUCCGUGCCAGCAGCCGCCGUAA